AUGAGUGUGAAUGAUGAACACACCAGACCCUUCGGGACCAGCAUUGAAGAUGGCUGUGAGGAAAUCAGGAACAACAACAGACAUGCUGAAGAUUCCCUAGAUGGUGAUGCCAAUGCUAAUGAAAUCCAAAGAGUAGAUGAAGGAACAAAUUUGGAGGCAACUGAAACCCUGUCCUCUGUGGUAUCUCACACUGAGGAACAUGUGAAGAUGAUUAUCCAGGGCACAGAUUCCCCAUGUGACGACCCAGAGUUAGCUGAGUUUGAGAUGCUGGAAAGUCAGGAACUAGAGGAUGAUGAAGAGAGCAGUAUUCCUAAAGGAGAUGUCAGGGGUUCUCUAUCCACCAAUAUGAUGCAGACUAAAGCAAUGUCUCCGAAGGUAGAAGGUAAAAGGUUCUCCCAAUUCAUUUCAAAGGAGCAAGAGUCUACUGUUUGUCCUCAGUCCACUAGCAAAGAAAUGUUGACCAGCAUAGCAAGGACUGAGUUUAGCUCUGAAAAUGAUGUUUUUGUCUCUUGCCUCUCCACAAUGUCUAGUCUUGGAGGAAGUCUUGCUAGUGCCCUGGACAAUGCAGGUCGAACCCAGAGCUCUGAUUCAUGGCAUGCUCCCUCAGGGCCAUACCGAACUCUCUCUGAGGACCUUACCCUUGUCUCACAGUCCUGUUUAACUAUUUCAGAUAAAAGCCAGAGCUCCGUACAUACUGAUGGCAUGCAUCAUCAAGCAGGAAAAAGUACAAUGCACAUUGACAGUGUUGAUCUCAAUCUUAACUCUACCACAUUGCCUGAGGAACCCCUUUUAGAAGCACAAGAAAACCAACCAGCUACAGACUUUGUAAUAUAUGAGAGCUCAGGUCAACUGACAAAUGGCAUGAGUGAUUGUAGCAUUGAAAGGAUCAAGAAGGUCCCUAAUCAAACAGGAAGCACCAGUCCGGACAAUCUAGGAGAAUCUGGAUUUCAUGUAAAGGAGUACCAUGGAACAGAAGACAAGGUUCCAAAUUUAAAAACAAUAUCAACUGAGAAGAAACCUUGCCAACCUCUUGUCUCAGAAAACACACAGUCUGCUUCACAGAACAGAAGGUUCUCUCAUGAUUCCGCUGCUGAUAUAAAUAAUAAACUCAAAUCCCAGGAUGAGGAAUCUCAUAAAAUUGCUCUUAAAACCUCAAAACUAACCUCAAAGGAUACACCUGUGCACUCUGGUGGUUCUGAACCCCAACCAUAUAAGAAGCAAGCUUCUUUUGAAAAGACCCGAAGUUCUAGUGCAUCAAGUUUGGAAAGGCGAAGACCUUGGGGCAGCCCAUCUCGCUCUGAGACCCCUCCAUCCCCUAAGACCACCUGUUCACCUCGGAAACAGCCACCUUCAUCACCAGCCAAACCUAUUAGCACAAGAGAAGCAAGUCAGGAACGAAAUGAAACCUUACAGAGGGGAACGACUGGUUCGAGGCAACCAAGUAAAAGUGUUCUCAGUAGUAGUAGCAGUCUCCCAAAACCUGCUGUUCCUCAACAACCCACUAGAGCUGAGUUUGAAUCUAAGAAGUCUUCUCCACCUCAGAAGCCUAAAAAUGUUCGACCAAAAAUCAUAACAUAUGUCCGCAAAAGUCCUCAAGCGAAACCAACGUCUGAAGGCCCCUAUGAAGUAUCAACGUUACCGCCAAGACUUACACCAUACAGUAGCUCACCAACCUCAAAAGAGUCUAAGGCUGAGGGUCCCAGAGGUUCACCUGUGCUGAGCUCCUCUAAUAUCCUUUAUGACAAGUAUCGACAGGAAGUACAAAGGUCAGGGUACUACUCCCCUCCAGGACAGAUGGCAUAUGGGAUCAGGCCACCUAGCCACACUGUCCCCCAUAAACUGGUGGGCAAAUCAGAGAGUUUCCAUGGGGAACUGCCAGAUCAAUAUUUACAGGUAGGAUUUGUGUAUUAA
rnacentral:lncRNA from 12 species